rnacentral:misc_RNA from 1 species
AAGUCGUAACAAGGUCUCCGUAGGUGAACCUGCGGAGGGAUCAUUACACAAUAAAAUACGAAGGCCGUUCGCGGCUGGACUAUUUAUUACCCUUGUCUUUUGCGCACUUGUUGUUUCCUGGGCGGGUUCGCUCGCCACCAGGACCACAAUAUAAACCUUUUUUAUGCAGUUGCAAUCAGCGUCAGUAUAACAAAUGUAAAUCAUUUACAACUUUCAACAACGGAUCUCUUGGUUCUC